rnacentral:rRNA from 1 species
UACGAAGGGGGCGAGCGUUGUUCGGAAUCACUGGGCGUAAAGGGCGCGUAGGCUGUGCUGUAAGUCAGGCGUGAAAGGCCCGGGCUCAACCUGGGAAUGGCGCUUGAUACUGCGGCGCUGGAAGGUGGGAGAGGAUGGCGGAAUUCCCAGUGUAGAGGUGAAAUUCGUAGAUAUUGGGAAGAACACCGGUGGCGAAGGCGGCCAUCUGGCCCACAUUUGACGCUGAGGCGCGAAAGCGUGGGGAGCAAACAGG